rnacentral:rRNA from 1 species
AUUGAACGCUGGCGGAAUGCUUUACACAUGCAAGUCGAACGGCAGCACGGGGGCAGCCCUGGUGGCGAGUGGCGAAUGGGUGAGUAAUACAUCGGAACGUGCCCGGUCGUGGGGGAUAACGUAGCGAAAGUUACGCUAAUACCGCAUACGAUCUGAGGAUGAAAGCGGGGGACCUUCGGGCCUCGCGCGAUCGGAGCGGCCGAUGUCAGAUUAGGUAGUUGGUGGGGUAAAGGCCUACCAAGCCGACGAUCUGUAGCUGGUCUGAGAGGACGACCAGCCACACUGGGACUGAGACACGGCCCAGACUCCUACGGGAGGCAGCAGUGGGGAAUUUUGGACAAUGGGCGCAAGCCUGAUCCAGCCAUUCCGCGUGCAGGACGAAGGCCUUCGGGUUGUAAACUGCUUUUGUACGGGACGAAAAGGCUCUGGCUAAUACCUGGGGCUCAUGACGGUACCGUAAGAAUAAGCACCGGCUAACUACGUG